rnacentral:lncRNA from 1 species
ACACCUAGUUCCCUAAAGCCAUCUGGUUUGGGAGUCAUUGGUCCAACGCUCGCUUUACAUGGGUAACUCUGAAAAGCCUAAGAAAAUGAGACAUUGCACAAGUCAAGAAUUAAAAAAAAAAUGGAGAAAAGGAAGGAAAAAGAAAAAAAAGCAAACAAAAAUGAGCUUGCUUGAUUUUCAUGGUAAAAAUCCCUACUAAGAGUUACAUCACAUACACAUGCAUGCAUCACAUGAAAUUGAUUUAAUGAAGGAUGGUGUCUAAAAUGAAGAUAGAGUAUUUUUGAUAAGGUGAAAGUGUGAUUUUGAAUUUAAUCUUGCUUAGGUAUAAUGCCCAUAGAUAUUUAGAAGCUUUCUUUCAAUGUCAUAAUUUGUUGAUUCCAAAAAUAUUUUUUGAAUUUUGUGGGUAUAUUUACUGCAAACCCUCACAAGACACAACUCGUCCACUUGGGGUAACCUUGGGGUUUAAAGGCUUGUUGCACAUGCUAAGUGCAAUCGUGUUUCCUACGAAAAUGGGGUAGUGUAAUUUUUGUUUAAUUUAUUUUUAUUUUUAUUUAUUUUACUCGAGGACGAG